rnacentral:rRNA from 1 species
UGGGGAAUUUUGGACAAUGGGCGAAAGCCUGAUCCAGCAAUGCCGCGUGUGUGAAGAAGGCCUUCGGGUUGUAAAGCACUUUUGUCCGGAAAGAAAUCCUUGGCUCUAAUACAGUCGGGGGAUGACGGUACCGGAAGAAUAAGCACCGGCUAACUACGUGCCAGCAGCCGCGGUAAUACGUAGGGUGCAAGCGUUAAUCGGAAUUACUGGGCGUAAAGCGUGCGCAGGCGGUUUGCUAAGACCGAUGUGAAAUCCCCGGGCUCAACCUGGGAACUGCAUUGGUGACUGGCAGGCUAGAGUAUGGCAGAGGGGGGUAGAAUUCCACGUGUAGCAGUGAAAUGCGUAGAGAUGUGGAGGAAUACCGAUGGCGAAGGCAGCCCCCUGGGCCAAUACUGACGCUCAUGCACGAAAGCGUGGGGAGCAAACAGGAUUAGAUACCCUGGUAGUCCACGCCCUAAACGAUGUCAACUAGUUGUUGGGGAUUCAUUUCCUAGUAACGUAGCUAACGCGUGAAGUUGACCGCCUGGGGAGUACGGUCGCAAGAUUAAAACUUAAAGGAAUUGACGGGG